GGGACUUAACUCCUGUCUGUGGCAGUGACCGAGUGACAUACGCAAAUAGUUGUGAAUAUUGUCGACGCAAAUGGAUGAGUGACAAAGAAGGAAGAGCUUGGAAUGUUUAUUUAGAACAUGAUGGCUCAUGUGAUUCGUCACAAUCGCCAUUCCUACCAGCCCCAACAAGGCCUACAUACAGACCAACGUACAGACCAACCAAUGGUGCACCAGCAUUUUUCCAAAAUGUUGUCAGUCACUACUUUCCAGCCUCUUCUCCUUCAACAAGGUUUCCAUUCAACCUUGGAACAAACUUUGGUAGUAGCUAUUCCCAACAAGGAGAUAGCUUUCCUAACACAUUAUGGCAGUUGCUGAAUAAAAAUAUCCAAUCUCCAUACGGAUCACGACAGCAACAACAAGCCCAGACAUACUAUGCACCACAAAGUCAACCAUAUAACGUACAACAGUCAACAGGAAGAACCGCAAAUUGUGGACCAUAUGGUCAAAAAUGUUCUCGUUACGGAAGAGUCUGUGGGUCGAAUGGAUCAUCAUACCUGAGUGAAUGUGAUCUGUGCGUAUCUGCACAACGUCUCAGAACGACGAUACGAAUCGUCAGAGAUGGUUAUUGUUAAUCGUUGCUUGCAUAUGUAUUUUUUCGUGCUGGUCAUGAAACGAGAAGGAAAUAUAAAAAAAAUCAGCUAGAUAGAAGCAUAAAUGGAAUUUGAAUAGGUUUUGUUGUAUUUCCUUUAACAAGACAUU